rnacentral:lncRNA from 1 species
UCAAAACGAAACGUAGGUGAACGUGUAGAUGAACGUGAAGAUUAACAGAGCAGAUCGGAGAUCGGAGUGGAGAUGAACGUGUAAAUGAACGUGGAGUGAAAGACGGAAACUGUGAUCCACACGUCAAUGAACGUGGAGAGAUCCAGGCGUUAGCCAAGUUUCAAAGGAAACCUCAGCCGGAGAUCGUUGCGUGGGAGAGACGUCAGGAAGAGAUCGUUG